ACGAACGCUGGCGGCGUGCCUCAUACAUGCCAGUGGGACGCAAGGAAACACACUGUGCUUGCACACCGUGUUUUCUUGAGUCGCGAACGGGUGAGUAACGCGUAGGUAACCUGCCUAUUAGCGGGGGAUAACUAUUGGAAACGAUAGCUAAUACCGCAUAAUAUUAAUUAUUGCAUGAUAAUUGAUUGAAAGAUGCAAGCGCAUCACUAGUAGAUGGACCUGCGUUGUAUUAGCUAGUUGGUAAGGUAAGAGCUUACCAAGGCGACGAUACAUAGCCGACCUGAGAGGGUGAUCGGCCACACUGGGACUGAGACACGGCCCAGACUCCUACGGGAGGCAGCAGUAGGGAAUCUUCGGCAAUGGACGAAAGUCUGACCGAGCAACGCCGCGUGAGUGAAGAAGGGUUUCGGAUCGUAAAGCUCUGUUGUAAGUCAAGAACGUGUGUGAGAGUGGAAAGUUCACACAGUGACGGUAGCUUACCAGAAAGGGACGGCUAACUACGUG
rnacentral:rRNA from 1 species